rnacentral:lncRNA from 1 species
UUUAUUUAUUUGAAUCAAAGGUAACAUCUAUUUGCUACGUUUUGGUGUUGUACAGGGUGAAGCAAAUCUAUUUCCUUUUGUAUGAGUUUGUUUGGUGUUGGGGUAAUGAGGUGGUGAUAAUUUUGUUGAAAUUCCAUAAUAUGGAUCUGUUCAAUUUCUUUUUAUACAACUGAUAUAAUGUGGUCCAGUUUUUGUUCAUUUUCAAUUAUGACAGGAUGUUUUCGUUACUGAAAAAAUGUGCUAUGUUAGAUUUAUCUCCUUUCUCUGCUGAGCUGUGCCAACUGGUUUGAUGGUUUGGGGGACCUUUCUUAACUCUACAACAUGCG